rnacentral:rRNA from 1 species
UUCUUACUGAUUUUUAUAGUAAGUACCACCUGCUCAAUGACUAAUUUUAAUAGCCGCAGAACUUUUACUGUGCUAAGGUAGCAUAAUCAUUAGCCCCUUAAUUAGGGGCUUGUAUGAAAGGUAAAACCAUUUAAUUUCUUUAUUAUUUAAUUUUAACAAAUUUAAACUAAGGAUUAAAAUGUCCUUAUUUAUAAGUUAGACGACAAGACCCUUUUGAACUUUACUUUAGUUUAGCUGGGGAAGCUUUAAAAUUAAAAUCUUUUAUCUUUCUCAUUUUCUUAAAUGACCCAAUAAAAUUGAUUUAUUGAACAAGUUACCAUAGGGAUAACAGCGUAAUAUCUUUUUCAAGCUCUUAUUUAUAAAGAAGAUUGCGACCUCGAUGUUGAAUUAAUGAUUCUUAACUACGCAAAAGUAGAAAAAGUGGGACUGUUCGUCCCUUAAAUCAUUACAU